AAUCUUGCGCACUGGGCGAAAGCCUGACGUAGCCAUGCCGCGUGAAUGAUAACGGUCUUACGAUUGUAAAACUCUCUCACCGGGGACGAUAAUGACGGUACCCCUAGAUGAAGCGCCGGCUCACUUCGCGCCAGCAACCGCGGUAAUACGAAGGGGGCUAGCGUUGCUCGGAAUUACUGGGCGUAAAGGGCGCGUAGGCGGACAUUUAAGUCAGGGGUGAAAUCCCAGAGCUCAACUCUGGAACUGCCUUUGAUACUGGGUGUCUUGAGUGUGAGAGAGGUAUGUGGAACUCCGAGUGUAGAGGUGAAAUUCGUAGAUAUUCGGAAGAACACCAGUGGCGAAGGCGACAUACUGGCUCAUUACUGACGCUGAGGCGCGAAAGCGUGGAGAGCAAACAG
rnacentral:rRNA from 1 species